rnacentral:rRNA from 1 species
AGUCUGCAACUCGACUCCAUGAAGCUGGAUUCGCUAGUAAUCGCGCAUCAGCCAUGGCGCGGUGAAUACGUUCCCGGGCCUUGUACACACCGCCCGUCAAGCCAUGGAAGCCGGGAGUGCCUGAAGUGUGCAACCGCAAGGAGCGCCCUAAGGUAAAACUCGGUGACUGGGGCUAAGUCGUAACAAGGUACC